GUGCUGGAUAUUUAAUCUCUCCCCAGCCAAAGCCAAAGACGAAAGACGGGAGACUGGGAGACGGCCAUUUUUGACAGGUCGGAGACGGGCGAGACGGCCAUUUUUGCUUUUUAGGAUUUUAGGUUUAGGUACCGAACUUGGUUACUUCGUCAAAUCAUCAAAUAUCAAAUGGUCAUAAUGCAAUGAAUAGUAAGUUACGCGAGCUGGGCUUAGGUAAUUUUUAGAGAUGCUAUAUGAUACGCUGUUUUAAAGUGGAAAUGAAUAAAUAAUGUUAAAUCUGCAGACAUAAUUCUCUCUAAAAGAUGAAUCUAUAAUCAAACCCUAAAAGCUUUAUGUGACAAAAUGUAAAUGUAUCGUCGACAACUGAAAUGUUUUUUUUUGUCAAAUCACAGAGUCUGAUUAAUGGAUUUUUGAUUAUCUCGGAAUGCAGGCAUGAAGUUUAGUUUGCUGGUUACCACAAAAGAUUUUCUGCUGAAGAUGCAAUUUUUAACCUUUACGGAUUCAUAGAAUACGCUAGUAUAUUGGAUCUGCAUAAACAGGAAAAAGAGACAAUGUCAAAUAACAUUCAAAAUCUUGAUCUAAUGUAUAAAUGUAAUUAUAUACUGUCUUGUUAAUAUUAAAUGUUGUUUGUAAUGGC
rnacentral:lncRNA from 1 species